CGACGUGAAGCCUGCCCAAGAAAAAAAUGGUGAUGCUUAGCCAAUUUCUGUAGUUAUAGUCAUAAUAAAAUGGUGAUUGUUCUUAUGUCGUGUGGAAAUAUUUUGUAGAGGCUGGAUACGCAUAUAACAAGGAAAAUGAGGAACCAGAUGAAAAUAGUGAUUGGUUCCAUAGGAACGAUUCAUACUAGCCUGAUAAUCUUGAAAAUGAUAUCAUGGCCUCCCAUUUACUAGGUAUUGUUGUGUAAUUUUAGGAUGGUGAAGUGACUUGCUCUUUUUCUUCGUAUUGUUCCAUGCAGUUUGUGUUGAGAGGGAUAAUGCGUUGAGCAACCCAGUGAUGACUUAACUAAACUAAAAGAGCACUAAGGCUUACUCAUAUCUAGAUGAGGCUCGUAGCAUUGGUGCUGAUGUAGACCUAUGGGUUUCAGGUGAUCAACGAUAUUAUUAUCCACUAAAAGAUUAAUCAGGAUCUGAGAUAUAUGAGUUAUCUUCAGAGUUGGUUGCUGAGUGGAGCUCAUUUCAGCCAUAAUAUGAAAAAGGGUGGAGAAGAGAGAGCUAAAGGGGCUGAGAACCAAACUUCUAUGCCAUUAAGUUUUAACCAAGUGUUGGUUGCUUGAGGCCGAGAAUCAGACGACUUCAUCUUAUUAAGCCAUUGAAGUCACUUGAGAGAUGGCAUUAGUUCACUGGAGUCACUUGCAAUGAACAUCCUUACUCAUCCUUUUGCUCCUUUAUACCCUGCAUAUAAGUGUAUCCUAAAUUUGAUAUUUGUUAGUCAGAUUUUGGAGGGUUUUUGUUUACUCACUUUGUAAAAUCCAGCUUUGGGAAAUAAAAGUCAAUACUUUGUGUAAAGUGUGUACUGGCUACUAAGUAUUGGGAGAGGAGAUAAAUGAUUCUCCGGUAAACAUUUUAGGAUUGGGAAAACUUCUAGAGAGUAAGUUCUUUGCCGUGUCA